GUAGGUAUCCCCCCUUACCCGUCACUGUCCAUAUCUUGUUUUUAAACGAUGAGAGAAGUGCUACACCUGGUGGAGAGAGAUUGUAAGACAGAAAUAGUUGCUUUAUGCGUGCGGUACGUUACGGCCUGACACGUCACGAUGUAACGGAGGGUCCGUUUUUCAACUUUUCUCCAGUACGAAAGAACCAUUACCAUGUCGAUCAAUGCUUGAAUAGAAACGUAGUUCACACCCCAGAUUUUGAAGUCAACACAGUCCCAUUAGUUUUCUUUGCAGCCUCGUUUGAAUGUCGUGGUUGCGCACAUUUGUACGGAAUGGGAUGCUAUUCUCGACACAACCAACAGCGAUAUUUGAAGCCAUGAUGUCGGCAAGCAGCGAUGAUCAACACGGGAAGAGAACACACUUGGAGCACAACCAGCGAAUACCUGAACUUCAUGAGGGUGACCGAGGCCUCAUACCUGGAGACACUUGAGGCCCAGCGUCUUCUUCUUCUUCUUCUUAGGCAGUCAUUAUAAAAUAAUUAUUUGUUCUUAACUGACUUACCUAGUUAAAUAAAGGUCAAAUAUUUUUUUUAAAAGAAUUAUUCAGUGAGGUUUUUCGGUGGUUGGCAUCCAACGUUAUGGUGCAUUAUUGCCACCUACUGUGAGGCACAGCGUCAGCAGCAGGAUCAGCACUUCAAUCAGCUGUGUGAAAAUAAGGCAGCAGCCAGGGUGACUGAGAUGGCCCAGACAGCCUCGUUUAACAGCCUCAAAGCUGUAUUUCGACAGUUUGUCCAGGCCAUAAAAGGACAUCAGACACCAGCAACAGUCUCGUCACUAGACUAAAGUUGUAUGAAAAAAAAAAAAAAAAACGUUUUAUUCACUUAAAUUUGUGCUACAUUAAAAGCAUUGUGAAUGUGG